rnacentral:misc_RNA from 1 species
CUCCGUUUAGGGAGGGUGAGAAUGUGAGAUGGCUCCAUCUACCAUGUCGCUGUGUAUGUGAAUAGCCUUAGUAGUAAUAUCAUCAUAUCAACGCCCAAUUCCGUUUGUGACUCUUGUCAAAUAUUAUUAUUGAGAACAAAAUUGAGAACAAAAUAUUGACGGCACUUUAUAAACAUUUAUUCGGGUCUUGGAAAUAUAGCAAUGCUCACCUGGUUGCCUAUUUCUAAACAAUAAGUUCAACUAAAUUCUAUCUGUCUGUAAACAUUCAAAAUCAAAAUGGAUAGUGUUGGUAAUAUUGGUAGUAGAAAACGUGUGGCAGGAAAUCAUUAUUCUGCAGAAGAACAGGCUCUGGAUCAGAUUGCUAAAGAGGCAGAGUCUAGGCUUGUUGCAAGACGACUGGCCAGAGCUGAAGCACGUGACAUUCGUAUGAGAGAACUUGAAAAGCAGCAGAAAGAAAUGGAAGAAAAUGCUGAUCGCCAGUUUACUGCAGACAGUAGCAUGGAUAUAAACCCAAAGAUACCAGUUAGUAGAACUGUUAGCACUGGUGUACCUCUAGCAGGGAAUAACAGACCAAUACUUGGAAGUACUGGUAGCUUUCAAUCCAGUCGCCGUGGUUCAGAAGACUCAACUGAUGAAAAUCCUGGCCAGUCAAUGACAUUACGAGAUCUUAGGCAAGAACUCAAGGAAUUGGAAGAAAAGUUCCGAAAAGCAAUGGUUCAGAAUGCCCAAUCUGAUAAUGAAAAAGCUUCAUUGAUGUAUCAGGUGGAGCUAUUCAAAGACAAAAUAGAAGAUAUGGAUGAAGCUUAUGCACUCCUUCAGAAAGAACACAAAGACAAGCAUCGCGAAUGUGAAGAUUCGAAGAGGGAAAUGAUGAGAAUUCAGCAAGAGCUUAAUUACAACCGCUAUAUUCUUGAGGAACGUGAUAAAAUGAUUCAGGAACAUGGAUUAGUCAUUGUCGGUGAAGAUGAGGAUAGUGAUGAAAAUACGACCACUGCUGUACGAAAGACUCCAAAGAAAGUCUUAGUUUCCACUGAUGUAGCUUCUUUAUUGGAAAAGGCGGGUGAUGGAUCACUCGAUGUACGGAUACGGAGAUUGACUGAAGAGAAAAACGAGUUAUGUGAUCAGCUGAGGCGUGUUAAACUGGAUUUAGAAGAGGAACGCACAAAAUCCAUGUAUCGAGAUAGGCCGAUUUCUAGCGCUCCUGGAUUACCUAACGGUCCAAUCGGCGAUCUUUCAGAAUGGCAGAAGGAAGCAGUUGCCAAACAGGUUAAUGACUACAAAAUAAAGCUUCAGAAAGCAGAUCAAGAAAUCGCAACUCUUCAAGCAACGGUUGCUCGGCUGGAGACACAAGUUACUCGCUUUAGAGUGACCGCUGAAACGUUAGAAAAAUCUGAAGAUGAACUAAAAGUGGAAAAACGUAAACUUCAAAGAGAGCUACGAGAGGUCAAACAGCUCCUUGAUGAAACGGAUACGGCGCGUCGUACGCUGCAGCGCCAGUAUGAUAAGCUGAAACAUGGGCGAUAAACCUACUUUCGCUCAACCGUGAAUAGUUUCAUUGCCCAUUUUAAGAAAAUAUGGACUGUCACGAUGUAGGAUUACGUUCAAGUUAAGAGAAACUCAGACCAAAAUGGAAGAACUUGAAACAUCACACAACCAUUUACAGCGACGACUAGAUAAACUGAAAACCGCAAAAUCAGCUCUUUUGAAAGAAAUUUAAAUUCAUUUUUUCUACAUCUUAUUACCUAGCCUUAUACUCGUUAUUUAUUUCCGCUGGAGAUGGAAUUAAAACAACGCCGUUGCUCGGGGCUACGCUUCCCCAUAUUGAUUGUGUGCGAGGAAAUCUGUAUUGUCGAAUUAUCCCAUGUCGACGCAUUUAAUUUAAUUCGCCAGUGCUCUUUACGUCAUUUACCGUGUGCUAGAGAGUGUGUUGCUUAAUUGAAUCGGUUGAAGCAGAUCUUAGUUGCUGAUUGUCUGUAGAAGAAGAGAGUACCAUUUUCUUUUGUUUAACCUUGCAAGCAUGUUUUAACCAAUUAAAAACUAGUGGUAUUGCUAUUGUACGGCUUGUGACAUGAAAAUGCAAUGAACAUUCUAAAUAGAAAAACGAAAUUAA